AGUAGCAGCUAAAUAGUCAGCGUUGGACCUGUCCUUCUACGUGGUCGACCAGCAGAAUACGACCGCGAAAUGGUUUAACCAGGUAAACCUCUUGCUGUUGGGCGGACUGACGCUACAGUUAAGGAUUUCCGCCCAGUAAAUCCUCCCCGGCCAGGAGGGGAACCCAGGACAAAGCGCUGGCGAAACUCGAGACGGGCGUCUUGGAUUGCUUAACUAGGUGCUUAAAUGAUGUCGUGGGAGUUCAGUUUAUGGUUGUGGAAGGUCGUGACAACAAUGGAACUUAAAGUUCUGAAGGAACAUGGUUUACGGACUAAUCAUCGUAAAUGUUAGUGAUUUACAAAUAUGAAAUGGAAAGUGCAGAACAUUGGUCCUUCAGUUGGAAUGUGGUGACCAGCUUCAGUUACGGAAUCAGGUGGUAAUGUGUUACAACGGCAUCAAGGCAGUGACUGGCGUGUUCUAAUCUGCAAAAUAGUCUACUAAGCUGGUGAUGGUCCUUUGGAGUUGUCUCUGCCUCUGGGAUCUUCAGUGAUUGCAUCUAGGAACAUCAGUUUACAACAAUCUGAAAUAAAAGAUGUAAUAUAAAUACUGUACUAUGUAAUUUUUUAAAUAAAUCUUUUAAUUAAAACUUUACAUACU